rnacentral:rRNA from 1 species
UACGAAGGGGGCUAGCGUUGUUCGGAAUUACUGGGCGUAAAGCGCGCGUAGGCGGCUCGGAAAGUCGGGGCGUGAAAAUGCCGGAGCUCAACCCCGGGACUGCGUCCGAUACUUCCGAGCUGGAGGUAGGUAGGGGAGAUCGGAAUUCCUGGUGGUAGCGGUGAAAUGCGCAGAUAUCAGGAGGAACACCGGUGGCGAAGG